CUUGUCUCAACCAUCAGGUUUGGCGAGCUUGUGAACAUGCUUGCUGCUGCUUUAAAGAGAAUUAAACAGUGUUUUGCCCCAUUAGACGAUGCUUUUGUGGGACGCAUGGCCAGCAGAGUCCAGAUGGAGGAUAUCUGGAACAGUGGGGACAACUGGGACUCAAGGCUGAGACAAACACAGCUGGAGAACCUAGAGGUGGUACACAUGAGGAAAGAGCCUGAGGCCAUGAAUGCAGGAAGCCGCUAGUUGUCCAUCUUGUAGCAGGUGUUUGACCGGGUUUGUGCAUAAUUAACUGAUAUCUGACGGC
rnacentral:lncRNA from 1 species